AUGCUUCAAUAUUUGGACAUUUCCAGCAACAAUCUUGAUGGUAAGAUUCCAAUGGAGAUCUUCAAAAUACCAGCAAUAAAUAUAAUUAAUGUAUCUUUCAAUAACCUCCACGGACAACUUCCUACAAGCAUUGGGAAUGCUAAACAACUCAUAAAUUUUGCGUCUUCAUCAAACAAGCUAUCCGGAGAUAUUCCAAACAGUCUGGGUGAUUGUGAAAGUUUAGAAUACAUUGAAUUAGACUCAAAUAUUUUUAUUGGAAGCAUUCCCACUUCAUUAGGCCACAUAACCAGCCUCAAAGUUUUGAACUGUUCCACCAAUAACUUAACUGGGCCAAUACCAAUAACUCUUGGCAACCUACAAUAUCUUGAGAAAAUAGAUUUGUCAUUCAACAAUCUUAAAGGUGAGGUUCCAACAAAAGGUAUCUUCCGUAAUGCUACUGUUGUGUGGAUUGAUGGAAACAAGGGUCUUUGUGGUGGGGCACUGGAGUUACACAUGCCAGCAUGUUCUAUUAUGCCUUCAAGUUCAACUAGACACAAGAAAUAUUUAGUGCUCGAAGGAGUUAUACUAACAGCCAGUAUGGUGUCACUUGCUAUUGUCAUAUUUGGCUUAAUUCUCUGGAGAGGAAAACACAAGAGAGAAUCUAUAUCUUUGCCUUCAUUUUCUACAACAUUUCCCAAAGUUCCUUUCAAUGAUCUAGCGAGAGCAACACAAGGAUUUUCAACAUCCAACUUAAUUGGCAACGGGAGGUAUAGUUCUGUAUACCAAGGAAAACUAUUUGAAGAAGAAAAUGAGGUUGCAGUAAAAGUCUUCAACCUCGAGACAAGAGGAGCACAAAAGAGCUUUUUUGCGGAAUGUAAUGCAUUGAAAAAUCUUCGGCACCACAAUCUGGUCCCAAUUCGAACUGCAUGCUCAAGUACUUAUUCUAAUGGUAUUGAUUUCAAGGCCCUAGUGUAUGAGUUCAUGCCACGAGGAGACUUACAUAAACUACUAUAUUCAACUAGAGACUCUGAAGGAUCUUCAAAGUUGAACCUUCUUACAAUGACUCAAAGGAUGAGCAUUAUGGUGGAUGUAGCAGAUGCAAUGGAGUACCUACACCAUAACAAUCAAGGAACAAUGGUUCAUUGUGAUCUGAAGCCUAGCAACAUUCUUUUGGAUGACAAUAUGACAGCUCAUGUUGGAGACUUUGGCUUGGCAAGAUUCAAAGUUGGUUCCACGGUGUUAUCUCUUGGUAACCCAAACUCUUCUUCGGUUGGACUAAUGGGGACGAUCGGAUACGCUGCUCCAGAAUAUGCAAGUGGUGGUCAAGUUUCAACCGCCGCAGAUGUUUACAGCUUUGGUGUUGUCCUCCUCGAGAUAUUCCUUGGGAGAAGGCCAACUGAUGACAUGUUUAAGGAUGGACUGAGUAUUGUGAAGUUUACAGAGAUCAGUUUACGUGAUAGAGUAAUUGAGAUUAUCGAUCCUCAACUGAUACAAGAGUUGGAGCUUUGUCAUGAUACUCCAAUUGGUUUGAAUGGAAAAGGUGUAUGCUCUCUGCUAUGUAUGCUAAACAUUGGUCUUUGCUGCACCAAGACAUCUCCGGGUAUUCGCAUCAACAUGCAAGAGGUGGCUGCCAAGCUACAUGGUAUCAGAGAUGCAUAUAUCAUAGAGAACUGA
rnacentral:rRNA from 1 species